CCCAGGCUCAUUCCAGGAUGCCUUGACAUCACAAGCCACAAGCUACUGACAUAGAAUUGGCAGCGUGGACACCCAGCAUAAAUCAUGUUUGAGCUUGCAGGUGCCGCAGGAUCCAACAGCACAUGCACAGCUGGAUAUUGCAGGUAUUGCUCCCCUCGUGAGCAUCACUUGGUCAGAUCAUGUGCUCCUUACCAGGUGUGAUUGUGUUACUCAGUUAACACAGGCAAUGUUGGGUACUGAUAGCAGGUGCUGCUAACAGGUGUCUCAGCAACUCUCCACCAGGAUUACAAAACUGAAAAUUCCAAAUUUUUAGGCUCAAAGCACUCUCCUAAUCCUGAGAUAACCAAACAAUCUUCAAAGAGCCAAGACAUCUCCAGAAUGGAAUAUCUGUGCCUGCCAGCUGUGAUGAGCAGCCCUACUUAGUCAUGAACUGACUGUAUUCCUUCAGUGCCUUGCAAAAUGUCUUGUAUUCACAGCCUGAGUUCAGUACAAAGGUAUCCAGGAAAAGGAAUGAAGCUUAUAUUCACAUUCUAUUUCAUGCCUACUUUGACUUACCUCAAAAAUGUUUAGUAUGCAGAGUAAAUUACUCUGUAGUCCAAAGCUUUGUUCAUAUUCCAUUUAUUAAAGAAUAAAGAGCCUUAUUUACACAGUAAAGGUAAA